UUUCAUAAGUGCUUUUAAAAAAUAAGUACUUCUAAAAAGAUUGCUUCUAAAAAGAUUGCUUCUAAAAAGAUUGCUUCUAAAAAGCUUAUCAAAAUUGGCAGGCUUAUUGCUUUUGUGUGAGUAAUCCAAAGUUAAAGCAAAUUAAUGGCAAAAAAACAGUUCAAAUGCUAAAUACUAAGGAGUCAAAAUUCCUUGCAAAGUGAUUUUUACAGCGUCCAUUUGGUUGAUAUAAAUUCCAAAUGCUCAUAGACGUCAAUGCCUAUAUGAAACUAUCGGUUCAAUCAUAUCGCUUUGAGUUAUAUAGAUUUUGUAAUCCCUCUUUUGAUCGUUUUAAACGCUUUAUCCUGAUUUAGGGGCCGUAGCUCAGCUGGGAGAGCACCUGCUUUGCAAGCAGGGGGUCGUCGGUU
rnacentral:misc_RNA from 1 species